rnacentral:rRNA from 1 species
CUGCUGCCUUCCGUAGGAGUUUGGACCGUGUCUCAGUUCCAAUGUGGGGGACCUUCCUCUCAGAACCCCUAUCCAUCGAUGCCUUAGUGGGCCGUUACCCCGCCAACAAGCUAAUGGAACGCAUCCCCAUCGAUGACCGAAAUUCUUUAAUAGUUCUACCAUGCGGAAGAACUAUGCCAUCGGGUAUUAAUCUUUCUUUCGAAAGGCUAUCCCCGAGUCAUCGGCAGGUUGGAUACGUGUUACUCACCCGUGCGCCGGUCGCCA